AGCUACUAUAAGCUGCAACUUUAAUGGAAGAUGGAGGAAACUGAAAGAGACUUGUGAGAAGACCCCGAAAGUAGCAUCCAUCAACACUUCAAAUGGAAAAUAAAUAUAAUUAGAGAGAGAUACAGUGACUCCCAGAAAUAUUCGGACACUAGUGUAUGCAAUACACAACCGAAAGAAUAUCACAUUAUCGGGUACGAUAAAACACGGAGGAGGCAGUGUAAUGGCGUGGGGAUGCAUUUCGACUUCCGGCGUUGGAAAUUUAGUUUCUAUCGAUGACAUCAUGACAUCAUGGAUAUUUAAAUUGCUUUUAAAAAGCAAUUUAAAACAAAGUGCAGAAAAAAUGGGGAUUGCUGAAGAUUUUAAAUUUUACCAGGAUAAUGAUCCUAAACAUAAGUCGGGCAUUGUCUAAGAAUUUUUAUUGUAUAAUUGCCCCAAGUCCUUCAUCCACCUUCACAAUCACCAGACCUUAACCCUAUAGAAAACUUAUGAGAUAAGUUGAACCAACGGAUUCGCAAGACACCCAUUCGUUCCAAAGAAGAACUUAAAAUUAGGCUUCAAGAAGAAUGAGCAUCCAUUUCGACAGAAUAUUUAAAAAAAAUAA